CUGCAUCAACAAAGCUGAAUCAUUUCUAGAAGGGUUUCAAUUUACCUUGUCCAGAUCUACCAGAGGAAUCACUAUCCAUGGCAGCUAUGGCCUUACAAAAUGUAUCUUUUAUAACAAAACUUGAAAGUAUAAAUU